UUAGGGUGGUUUUUGAUCUACCUAUUGAAAAUUCUACAUACCCAAAUGGUAAUGGACCAGAUUCUCAUAACACAUCAAUUCUGUCACUGGAAAUUGUUGAGUUUGUUGAGGAAGAGCCUGUCUCAAACAGCAAGGACUGAGCUGUUAUCCUGUCUCUGAAUGAUUUGGACCCCUGACCCUCAGAUUUUCAGUCUUGAAGUCCACUCACCUCUUCAUAUCCUUUUCUGAAGCACUGAGCCUGAUCAUUCCAGCUUCCAGGAAGACUGCCCAUGCAUGUGCAUUCCGAUUCCAACACUCAUUUGAGCAGCUCCACAUUCGGUUCCUCCCUCUGGUGUACCUGGAGAGUACCUUCUUCACUGAUUAGGUAUGGAGACUGUGAGUUCCAAAUUUCCUAGAAAGUAAUGUUUUCACAUAAUUCUCUCCCCCUCUUGCGUCCCCACUGGCCAACUUCUGUCCUUAUUGCCCAGAAUGCUGUCACCUGUCUGCUCAUGGAUAUAGAGAAACUGUGGAAGUCUAUGCAUUGGGUUAGCCAGCCUGGAACAUCUAAAGAACAGGGUGAUGGCCAAAAUAUCUUCCAGAUGUUCAAUCUGUAGAAACAGAAUUUUCUGUGCUCUGAU